rnacentral:rRNA from 1 species
ACGAACGCUGGCGGCGUGCUUAACACAUGCAAGUCAAGGAGAACGUUCCCUUCGGGGAAUUAUUAAACUGGCGAACGGGUGAGUAACUCGUAGGCAACCUGCCUUGGAGAUUGGGAUAACCCCGGGAAACCGGGACUAAUACCGAAUAAUGCAGCGACUUCUUCGGAAGAUGCUGUUAAAGCGGGCUUCGGCUCGCACUUCAAGAUGGGCCUGCGCCCGAUUAGCUAGUUGGUAAGGUAACGGCUUACCAAGGCUAUGAUCGGUAGCUGGUCUGAGAGGAUGAUCAGCCACACUGGGAUUGAGAUACGGCCCAGACUCCUACGGGAGGCAGCAGUGGGGAAUUUUGCGCAAUGGACGAAAGUCUGACGCAGCAACGCCGCGUGAUUGAUGAAGCUUUUAGGAGUGUAAAGAUCUGUCGUGAGGGAAGAAAAAUCUGGAUGUAAAUAAUGUUCAGACUUGACGGUACCUCACAAGAAAGCACCGGCUAACUUCGUGCCAGCAGCCGCGGUAAUACGAGGGGUGCUAGCGUUGUCCGGAAUUACUGGGCGUAAAGGGUCCGUAGGCGUCUUGCCAAGUUGAUCGUUAAAGCCAUCGGCUCAACCGAUGAACUGCGAUCAAAACUGGUAAGAUAGAGUGUGGCAGAGGAGGGUGGAAUUCCUGGUGUAGCGGUGGAAUGCGUAGAUAUCAGGAGGAACACCGAUGGCGAAGGCAGCCUUCUGGGCCAAUACUGACGCUGAGGAGCGAAAGCGUGGGGAGCAAACAGGAUUAGAUACCCUGGUAGUCCACGCCGUAAACGAUGAGUACUUGAUGGUGGGGGAUUCGACCCCUUCACUGUCGGAGCUAACGCGUUAAGUACUCCACCUGGGGACUACGACCGCAAGGUUGAAACUCAAAGGAAUUGACGGGGGCCCGCACAAGCGGUGGAGCAUGUGGUUUAAUUCGAUGCAACGCGAAGAACCUUACCUGCCCUUGACAUACUCGGAACUUUCCAGAGAUGGAUUGGUGCCUUCGGGAGACGCUACACAGGUGCUGCAUGGCUGUCGUCAGCUCGUGUCGUGAGAUGUUGGGUUAAGUCCCGCAACGAGCGCAACCCUCGCCCUUAGUUGCCAUCAUUUAGUUGGGCACUCUAGGGGAACUGCCGGUGACAAGCCGGAGGAAGGUGGGGAUGACGUCAAGUCCUCAUGGCCCUUACGGGCUGGGCUACACACGUGCUACAAUGGCGGUGACAGAGAGCUGCUACCUUGUGAGAGGAUGCUAAUCUCCAAAAACCGUCUCAGUUCGGAUUGUUCUCUGCAACUCGAGAGCAUGAAGUUGGAAUCGCUAGUAAUCGCGGAUCAGCAUACCGCGUUGAAUACGUUCCCGGGCCUUGUACACAC